UAACAUUGCACACUGAGAGGUGUGCAACUGUUGCACUAAUGCCUAGCUUUAAGCGUGUUUGCACCCUGUCUUGAUGCUAGGUAGGCAUCAGAAAAUUCUCUUUGACUCGGAUUGGGAAAGGUGAAACUGGAAAUAAAAGGACAUAAAACAUGUCCAAACCCUACAAAUUACCAACUAGAUCCAAGUUGCAAAUUAUAGGAGAAGGAAUGAAAGAAAACUACACUUGAUAUCAAUUCACUGAUCUACAAAGUAUCUCUCUGUGUACUCAGGGGAUUUCCUUUAGAGUUUUGUCAUGAGAGAUUAUGUCCUCCCACAUGCCCUACAUCUCAGACUCUUUAUGCAGGGAGAUCCUAGAAGAGAGUCUUAGCUAUUACACCUGAUGACUUGCAUCCCUCUGGGGGUUCCCUUCAGUCACCCCAUUUUCCCUUCCAAAAUACACUUACCUUUGGGUUAUUCAGGGAAUAUAUUUUUAGCUUCUGCUGGUAAAAGGGCUCUUUCACUUUUUGAAGAUGCAGGUGCUACUUUUGUGGACUGGACAGUGUUUCCUGUACUGGACUGGCCUGGGGUCAUUGCUUAACUCUGAAAGGUAUUUUCAUCUCCCUCACUCCCAUGGUGAGCCAAUUUGUAUGCUUCAGUGUGAAGUGCCUCCAUCCACUAACCCCAUCUUUCUUCAUGCACAAGCUGAUGUAAAAUGUAUGUAGCUCAUUUCUUCUUUUGAGAGCGGAUGCUUUGGGUGAAAAAUAGGUUUGAAGCGAUUGACUCUUCAAAUCAAUCUUUGGUAUUCCAACACAUAUAAUUGAGCUACCUAGGUUUCUUUGUCUUUGCAAACCACACUGCGGGGCAGGAAAGUGCUAUUCUCUGUAUUAUUUCUAGCAAACCAGAACACAAAGAGGCUGAGAAGAUAUUACCUGAGUAUUUCAAAAAUCAGUCUUGUUUAGAAGCCCCUCUAUGGCAGAAUCAGUGUACAGGCCACAAGUCUUGUACUGAAUACCCCAAGUACCUAGUCCUUGCAUCUUAAGUCCUGUGUUUCCCACAGCAGACCUCAUCCCAAAUGGACACAGACAAUGAGCAGCUCUCUGUGCCUUCUAGACAUUUCUCUGCCUGUGCUUUAAAAGUCCAAGAAGAGAUUGAAGGGGUUGGAGAAGCUUAUGUUCAAAAGUUAUUGAUUAACAGGCAGCAGCCCAGUACCUAGCCCAUGUGUUAGGGAUGUGGGGAAAUGAAGGAUUGAUGCCCAGCUUUGCUUAAAAUGUUCAAAACCUUUCAGCAUUUCAAGCAGAAUAAGAAAGAGACUGGCAACUCAGGUACUUUAUGGUGGGAAUAACUCUCUCACAACUUUAAUCUCUCUCAAAAUAUUUGAGUUUAUGUUGAAGCAUGGAUGGAUGCUUUGGGAGGAGGUGGAUGAUGCCCCAUAUGAACUGCUGUGUUUGCCAUCUUAUUGGUCCCAAGACUUUGACUUCUGGAUAACAGUAGUGUGACAAUUGUUAAUCUCUAAGAAUCACUUAAUCCAUUUGGUUGGAUUAUACAUCUAGCUUGCUCUUAAAAUCUUGGGGUGUGGUACUUGUUUCCAAUUUUCAUGCUGAAAGAAGAGUUAUUUGCAAGCCUAUCAAGGUUCUGCUAGUUAAAAGCUAUAAAAUGUAAUUUUAUAACCCUUUAUUUUCUCAAAGUGUGUAUCUAAGGAAGCAUUUCAGUAGGCUGAAGUAGUAUUGAUGUAUUGUCUAAUGGAUCUACAGCAAACACUACUCCUCUGUGGAGGGCAAUCUAAGGACUGUGGCCCAAAAACCAAGUAAUAGCUGAAAUGUAAUCAUCAUCAGCAAGACAAUGAGUUUAUGACAGGAAUUACUAUAGGGAGAAAAAAAACGCUUUGGACCGAACAAAUACUUCCUGAAGGGGUGGAUGCAUGGCUUUAUGCUUAUGAUUGAGAAAGUUCAGGUUAAGUUUGCUGAGGGGGAUAUUUCUGUGAAAUCUCUCUUGAUGAAAGUCAGGUCCUUCAUUUAAAAAGGCUGUCAUACUGUCUGCAAUCUAUUUAUCAAACAAGGAUGGAAGACAGUUCUCUUCAAAUUUAUAGCAUCAUCAGCUAGUAAAUGUAUAAGUAAACUGAAGUAGAAAGUGUUGUGUUGGUUUAAAAACUGAUUACUUUCUGGAAAAGACCUCUGUCUCUGUUUGCUUGUCUCAUUAUUGCGACAGCAUUUCUCUGAUAGCUUGCUGCUGCCAGUCCUUGUUAGACAGGCAAACACAUAGGUGCUCUGUGGGAGCUGCUGUGUCGUCCUCUGGAUGGACUUUGUCCUCUCUUCCCAGUUUCCCUGUGGUAGGCUAGUGCAAACUGAGUAUUGGGAAACUCUUGAUUUCAAAGGUGAGAGUCUUGUAAUUAUGGCUUCAAUUUUCAUCUGUCAGAGAAGCCUCAUAGUCUUCAUCUACCCCAACGGUGUGAGAUGGGGUCCAUGUGCACUAACAUUUGGAUGUUUAAAUAAUCAAAACUACUGACUGAAAUCCUUUUUACAAUCACUGAACUGCCUUUGUAGAAUGAUCUGUCUGGUUCUAUCACAGUGGUUGCAAAGUGACAGGCUCAAGUGUUUAAACUUAAGUGAAAGCAAUGUCACCUCUUUUACUCAGAUCUUACUGGAAAGAGUUCUGGCCAGGCAUAGAGGACCAGAUGUUCAGAGGAGCUCAGCUCUUAAGGUUAGGCACUUAAAUGAGGUCAGUUUUUCACUUUUGUUUCUCUCCAUGUAAACUAGAAGGAGCUCAGCAGAGGUGCAAAGGGAAGUUUUGUGAUUUCAGUUCAAUGUCAAAAAUAAAGCAAUGUCAAAAAUACAGCAAUGACAAAAGGAUCUGAAUGUCUCAGGAAAUUGCAGCAUUUUGGCACCAUUGAUCUCAAGUCAGGGAAAGAGUUGAAAUACAUCAACAGAAAGUUCACAGAGCACAGAGGUCUUUUACUUCGUUAUUUUGCAGUGAUAACAAUAUUUCAGCAUUUAUAAAUUGUACUUUUGAUUUUGUUAAUCUCUUCGGGGUUGCAGGACUCAUAUCGGGGGACAGGGGGUCAGUUCCAGAAUAUUUUGUGCCUAUUUAUUCUCUGUUUCUCACAGCCAAAAUUAGCAGACAAAGCUCAAAACUCCUGUUUGUCUGUGGUCCUUCUCCCUGUCCUAUUCAAAAAACAAAUGCAGAACUGGGCUUUACAGAGUAUGAGAACAACCACUGUGAUAAAGAGGAUAAGAGAAAGUACUUGAUUUAGUGCCUGUGCUUGACCAACAGGUGAACUAAUUGCUGGUAAACAAGCUAAGUGGGUUGAUCUGUAGCUACAAAUAGUAAAAGGCUGUCGUUCCAGCUUUUGUGGAAACUUUGAAAGCUUUUCAAAGCACCUGCUUUUUAUUAUGCUGCUCUCUCAAUGUUUGACAUAUGGCCUGACUUACAUAAACACAUUGGGGUUUUUUCUGUUUUUCUUUUUUGGUUUUUUUUUGGUUUUUUUUUUUUUUUUUUGUUUUGUUUUGUUUUUUUAAAGCAAACAAGCAAGCUAGCCUGUUUUGUUCUGUACAGGAAAUAAAAUCUGCAUCAAUACAGUAAAAAAGCAAGGAAUGCAAAGUGUAUCCAGCCUUGGCCCCCUGGCAGCCACCUCUCAAAAGGGAUUGGAUUCUUAUACAUACCGGAGUUUGGAGGAUUCUUCAACUUUUGGUUGAUUUGUCAGGCCUGUGGAUCCCACCAAACCUCACCAGAGAUUGGCCAUGUUUAUAGUACCCCUUCCUUCACACAUGCAGAUGUCCUCAGCAAAAAGCUGCUGCAUUAAAAAAAAGUGUACAGGAUUUUUGGUACCUAGGAGAGGUGUGUCCCUCUGUCCUGCUGCUGGGAGGAAGCAGCCUCUGAGGAGAGUGAGAACAUGAAAUUUGGAGUGAACAUCUCCUCUAGUCAGCAUGGAAAGAGCUGGCAAAACCUGCCACUCAGAAUCAGAUUUUGCACAAGGUCUUGGGCUGCUUGGAAACAUUGCAUUUAGGAGAAGUGAAGCCAGAAGAGUGAGAUGCUAUUGCUUUUUCACCCCACGCACCAUCAGCAGCUAGAUAUGCUGAAUUUGCUGUGUGCAAGACCACAGUGCAACAAUAAUUGUUUUCCUAAUUACAUAACAGAAGCUUUAAAAAGGGGAAAUGGAUGCUUGGAUAAUGCUAUAGCACAAGGUCUUGGUUCUAGCUUUUUCAAGUAGAAGAAAAUAAUAAUUUUCUCCCCUUAAAAAAGCAAGGUUUUGCAUCCAUGUACACUCAUAUACUCCUUUGAAUCAGUGGAUAUGUAAAUUGUAUCAGCCUAUGACUUUCCAGUUUGGUGGCUAUCUAUUAAGGUGAUUUAGCUAAUAAUUUUAAAUGAUUUUUCCCAUCAAUAGUUUGGGGUAUUCCACAAGGUAUUUCUAUUUGAUUUUGUGUUGUUUCCUUGAGUAUUAAUAAAAAUUGAUUUAGGCAAUAAACUUGGUGGUGGCAACCCAAUAAAUAAGAGAGACCUUGUGAAGUGGUAUUGAAAUAGAAGACUUAUUGUAAAUUGCCUGAGCAACAACUUUCCCCUUCAGAUGCCAAACCAUCAACAAGUAGCACUAAUUUAUGUGCACUAGCCAUACUGCUGUAAGGUAAGGACAGGCUGUUUUUUCUUGUAAAAAAUCCAGUAAGAUCUUGUCCCUUCUAAGAAACUGCUUUAGCGCAAAUCUGUCAUUCAACUGCUUGUCAGCUGUUUCUAAAUUUAUGUUAGAGGAGCGAGUUCUGGGAAACUGAGGCGCUACACUUUUCUUCCCCUUCUUUUUUAAAGAAAGGGGUGAUGAAAGGGUGAAAGUGCACUGUGAUAGGGUAUGGACAAAAGAGCUGCAGUGCCCAAAAAAUUGUGUUAAAAUGAUAAGGUACUGUGAACUUCCUAUGAUCUAGAGGUCCUGAAUUCCUCAGAAUCAUACCUAAAAGAAAAAAAA
rnacentral:lncRNA from 1 species